rnacentral:lncRNA from 1 species
UUCCAGUAAGAUUUCCAAUGUUAAAAAUAGGAAAACACAAAUUUAAAGUUCAUAUGCAAAAAUGUGUUCAAUUGUCAAAAAAAUUCUAAAACAGGAAAAGAAUAAAAGGGUUCUUAGGUAUUAACCGCAUGCGACAGUUAAUUUGAUGCACCAGGUUGGCUGGGCCACGCACCCCUGGCAGCUCUGUGCAUUCCCGGCCCCUUCCUUGCUCCUGAAGCCCAGCCAUCGCGGCAUCUUUCUGCAUUUGCUGCUUCUGAAUCCCUUUGUGUCCUCUUUUCUUGACUUCCGCUGUUAACGUCAUCUUACUAGGUAACGAUUCGCUAUGUUAAUGUUUUUCCUGUUCACAUUCCUGGUGUGGCUGUUCCCUUCUGUUUGGAACUAAGUCGUGAUAGAGAUUUUCGGAGGGGAAGAUGAGAGAGGUUCGGUUCUAAAAUACAGGAAAAUAAACAAAAGGAGGUGAGAAUGGAAGCUGAACACAAUGGACCACAUCCAGCACAGUGGAAAAUCAAGAGUCCUGAUGUGAGCACAGCAGGCUUGAGAUGUCGUCUGCCACCCAGUGAUGUUCAUGGCAGACGUAGCGGAGAGGUCCAGGUCGGAGAUGCUGAACUGAGAGGCGUGCACAAGCCGUGGGAAUGGAUGGGGCCGCUUAGUGCAGGGGUCACCAAGUCCAGCCACCUCCUGUUUCUGUAAAUAAAAUUUUAUUGGGGCCAGGCGCGGUGGCUCCCGCCUGUAAUCCCAGCACUUUGGGAGGCCGAGGCGGGCGGAUCAUGAGGUCAGGAGAUCGAGACCAUCCUGGCUAACACUGUGAAACCCCAUCCCUACUAAAAAUACAAAAAAUUAGCUGGGCGUGGUGGUGGGCACCUGUAGUCCCAGCUACUCGGGAGGCUGAG